AACGCACAUUGCGCCCUCUGGUAUUCCGGAGGGCAUGCCUGUCCGAGCGUCAUUGCUGCCCUCAAGCACGGCUUGUGUGUUGGGCCCCGCCCCCCCGCGCUGGGGGGGCGGGCCCGAAAGGCAGCGGCGGCACCGCGUCCGGUCCUCGAGCGUAUGGGGCUCUGUCACCCACUCGUGUAGGUCCGGCCGGCGGCUAGCCUCAACCAAACUUUUUAAACCAGGUUGACCUCGGAUCAGGUAGGGAUACCCGCUGAACUUAA
rnacentral:misc_RNA from 1 species